rnacentral:lncRNA from 1 species
GAGUAGCUGCCCCUGGACACUCAGUGGUGGAGCCUCUUUUGGGAGCCCCCCAGCCCAGAGUGACACAGAGAGCCUGGGGAGGGGGCAGGUACGUGGGAGCCGGGUGGCUGAGAAUCCCUCUCCUGGAGGUUAAGGCAGCUUGUGUCGGGGAACAUGGGAGGUGGCAGGCGGCGGCGAGCCGAGCGCGAGCCGGGGCCUGGCGGGGAGAGACGGCCGGCAGGGCGCAGUCCUGGAGGGAUGGAGAGGCGGAGGGGGCCCGCGGGAAGGUGGCUUCUUGACACCU